rnacentral:rRNA from 1 species
UGAGUACGAGAUGCUACGGCAUCGAAGCAGUCUAUGUCAUACUUCCAAGAAAAGCUUGCACUGUCAUAAACAAAGAAUGCCUGUACCAUAACCGACACAGGUGGGUAGGUAGAGUAUACUAAGGGGCGCGAGAUAACUCUCUCUAAGGAACUCGGCAAAAUGACUCCGAAACUUCGGGAGAAGGAGUGCCUUAUUCUAAGGUUGCAAUAACAAGAUCCAAGCAACUGUUUACCAAAAACACAGGUCUCCGCUAAGUCGUAAGACGAUGUAUGGGGGCUGACGCCUGCCCAGUGCCAGAAGGUUAAAGAAGUUGGUUAGCAUUAGCGAAGCUGAUAACUGAAGCCCUGGUGAACGGCGGCCGUAACAAUAACGGUCCUAAGGUAGCGAAAUUCCUUGUCGGGUAAGUUCCGACCCGCACGAAAGGCGUAAUGAUUUGGAUACUGUCUCGGAGAGGGGCUCGGUGAAAUAGACUUGUCUGUGAAGAUGCGGACUACCUGCACCUGGACAGAAAGACCCUAUGAAGCUUUACUGUAACUUGAGAUUGAAAUUGGACUUUAUUUGCGCAGUAUAGGUGGGAGGCGUUGAGAAUAAUCUUGCGGGAUUGUUGGAGCCAUCAGUGAGAUACCACUCUUGUAAUGUUAGAUUUCUAACUUUGUAUCAUUAUCUGGUCAAAGAACAGUUUCAGGCGGGCAGUUUGACUGGGGCGGUCGCCUCCCAAAGGGUAACGGAGGCGCACAAAGGUUUCCUCUGAACGGGUAGAAAUCGUAUCUAGAGUGUAAAGGCAUAAGGAAGCUUGACUGUGAGACCUACAAGUCGAGCAGGGACGAAAGUCGGUCUUAGUGAUCUGACGGUGCUGAGUGGAAAGGCCGUCACUCAACGGAUAAAAGUUACUCUAGGAUAACAGGCUGAUCUCCCCCAAGGGUUCACAUCGACGGGGAGGUUUGGCACCUCGAUGUCGGCUCAUCGCAUCCUGGGGCGGUAGUCCGUCCCAAGGGUUGGGCUGUUCGCCCAUGAAAGCGGUACGCGAGCUGGGUUCAGAACGUCGUGAGACAGUUCGGUCCAUAUCCGGUGUAGGCGUUAGAAUAUUGAGAGGAGCCUUCUCUAGUACGAGAGGACCAAGAAGGACAUACCUCUGGUGUACCAGUUAUCGUGCCAACGGUAAACGCUGGGUAGCUAUGUAUGGAGUGGAUAACCGCUGAAAGCAUCUAAGUGGGAAGCCCACCUCAAGAUAAGUAUUCUCA